rnacentral:rRNA from 1 species
GUACGUAGGGUGCAAGCGUUGUCCGGAAUUAUUGGGCGUAAAGAGCUCGUAGGCGGUCUGUCGCGUCUGCUGUGAAAACUCAGGGCUUAACCCUGAGCUUGCAGUGGGUACGGGCAGACUAGAGUGCGGUAGGGAGACUGGAAUUCCUGGUGUAGCGGUGAAAUGCGCAGAUAUCAGGAGGAACACCGGUGGCGAAGGCGGGUCUCUGGGCCGUAACUGACGCUGGAGGAGCGGAAAGCAUGGGAGCGAACAGG